GUCAUUACAAAAAAUUCAUGACUUGGUUCGUUCUCACUUGAAUUGCGUGUUUUUGUUUCUUGCCUUUAUAACGGUCACACUGUGAAAAAGAGCGUCAUUGAUAAAAUCAGCAAAUUAGUGGCCAAAAAGGUUUUGUCACCCAGUUUAGACGACGCGGAGGUCGGCGCUACAACGGCUUGUUGACUUUCGGAGUUUCCAUACAGGUCUCGAGGCUUGGGUCGAGAUCCGUCGGAUGUCUGUGAUUCAGAAUUGAAGUGGGGUGAUUGGGGCUGCGAUUGCGGGGGUCCCCAAGAAGUAGAGUACCCCUCGUCGACAGGGGUGGCCCUGGAAGUGAACUCAUCGGGCUUGGCACUCACAAUAAUGGAGUCUUUGAUCCGGUAAACCCGACUGUACUCGGGGCGUAUGUUAUUGAGGUAUCGCCUUUGGAGUACGCCACUAACAUGGCGAUGUUGCCGGCUACCGUCCGGAAAAACUGUGGUCAGAUCAGCUGAAUAGGAAUGCUCCUCGGUAAUCAGCACACCUACUACAGAUACGUCCACAGCAGUUUGAUGACGAAGAGCAUGGCCCACCAUCAAGGUUUCUGUUUGCUUGGACUUUUCUGGCAAACCCCAGAGGAUGGAGUGGAUUUGGCCAUUGCUCAAUUUGAUGGUUGCAGGACGAAUGAUCUCGCGGUCGACUCACGGGUUCCGUCUCUCAAGGCGUCGAUCCAACAACUAACUACUACUGGACAACUACAGACAGAGAGAGCGGUGGAGUACGCAAAACUUGAGGAAGAUCGUGAGGGAGCUCAGGCCCUGAACCUCCAUUCUCCAUACUGCCCUCUCUCUCACUCUCGAGCUCCUCUAUGGACUGUAUGUAUAUACCGUGGAGUCGGCGUUCGUUUCGGCGUUUCGUGCGGAGCAAUAACCAGAAGUUUUCGGGACUUUGGGAUUUUGGGAUUUUCUUCCGGAGGGUCGUUCAAACAGGACCCCUGUGCUCGUCUUCCAUCCCUCGGUCCCUCCUCCCUUUAUUCUCCAUUCCCAGAGGCCAGAAUUGUACAGUAUGGAAUGGUGUAAUGCACACGCCCGAGAAGAGAACUUCUGGUCGAAUAUGUGGGUGGAUGAUGUGGGAGAGUUUGAGAAGGGUAGAAGGGUUCCCGGGGAACUCGAGGACGACGGAAAAGCAUGGACCGUUUCCCAUAAGGCCGAGAAUGGCAGUUGAGAGGUAAACUUUUGGCUUCGGCCUAAGCCAAACCGGUAGCUUUUCGGUGAAAGAAUUACAACAUUGAUGAUUAUGAUAAUCGCAAUACUGGCUUGAUUUGCCACGUGGAAUUUGCCUUGGAAAAGAAAAUCACUUUCGGUUUUGCAACAGACUAAGCUUUCAUGCA